rnacentral:rRNA from 1 species
AUUGAACGCUGGCGGAAUGCUUUACACAUGCAAGUCGAACGGUAGAGGGGGCAACCCCCUUGAGAGUGGCGAACGGGUGAGUAAUAUAUCGGAACGUGCCCAGUCGUGGGGAUAACGUAGCGAAAGUUACGCUAAUACCGCAUACGAUCUACGGAUGAAAGCGGGGGACUCGCAAGAGCCUCGCGCGAUUGGAGCGGCCGAUAUCAGAUUAGCUAGUUGGUGGGGUAAAGGCCUACCAAGGCUUCGAUCAGUAGCUGGUCUGAGAGGACGACCAGCCACACUGGAACUGAGACACGGUCCAGACUCCUACGGGAGGCAGCAGUGGGGGAAUUUUGGGACAAUGGGCGAAAGCCUGAUCCAGCAAUGCCGCGUGAGUGAAGAAGGCC